GAGGCGAACCGGGGGAACUGAAACAUCUAAGUACCCCGAGGAAAAGAAAUCAACCGAGAUUCCGAAAGUAGCGGCGAGCGAAAUUGGACUAGCCCUUAAGCUUUACACGCGUUAGACAAACGGUCUGGAAAGUCCGACGAUACAGGGUGAUAGUCCCGUAGUUGACGACGUGUGUUCAGUGAAAUCGAGUAGGGCGGGACACGUGAUAUCCUGUCUGAAUAUGGGGGGACCAUCCUCCAAGGCUAAAUACUACUGACUGACCGAUAGUGAACCAGUACCGUGAGGGAAAGGCGAAAAGAACCCCUG
rnacentral:rRNA from 1 species